GUGAACGUUGCCGUCUGAAAAACAUUCAAUAAACUAAAACUUUCAACAACGGAUCUCUUGGUUCUGGCAUCGAUGAAGAACGCAGCGAAAUGCGAUAAGUAAUGUGAAUUGCAGAAUUCAGUGAAUCAUCGAAUCUUUGAACGCACAUUGCGCCCCUCG
rnacentral:rRNA from 1 species